rnacentral:rRNA from 1 species
AAUCUUAGACAAUGGGCGCAAGCCUGAUCUAGCCAUGCCGCGUGAGCGAUGAAGGCCUUAGGGUCGUAAAGCUCUUUCAGGGGGGAAGAUAAUGACUGUACCCUCAGAAGAAGCCCCGGCUAACUCCGUGCCAGCAGCCGCGGUACGACGUAGGGGGGUUGCGUUGUUCGGAAUUACUGGGCGUAAAGCGCACGUAGCCGGACUGGAAAGUUGGGGGUGAAAUCCCGGGGCUCAACCCCGGAACUGCCUUCAAAACUUCCGGUCUUGAGGUCGAGAGAGGUGAGUGGAAUUCCGAGUGUAGAGGUGAAAUUCGUAGAUAUUCGGAGGAACACCAGUGGCGAAGGCGGCUCACUGGCUCGAUACUGACGCUGAGGUGCGAAAGCGUGGGGAGCAAACAGG